rnacentral:rRNA from 1 species
UUCCAGACUCCUACGGGAGGCAGCAGUGAGGAAUAUUGGUCAAUGGGCUUACGCCUGAACCAGCCAAGUCGCGUGAGGGAAGACUGCCCUAUGGGUUGUAAACCUCUUUUGUCAGGGAGCAACGCCGGCUACGUGUAGCCGGACUGAGAGUACCUGAAGAAAAAGCAUCGGCUAACUCCGUGCCAGCAGCCGCGGUAAUACGGAGGAUGCGAGCGUUAUCCGGAUUUAUUGGGUUUAAAGGGUGCGUAGGCGGGAUGCCAAGUCAGCGGUAAAAAUGCGGUGCUCAACGCCGUCGAGCCGUUGAAACUGGCGUUCUUGAGUGGGCGAGAAGUAUGCGGAAUGCGUGGUGUAGCGGUGAAAUGCAUAGAUAUCACGCAGAACUCCGAUUGCGAAGGCAGCAUACCGGCGCCCUACUGACGCUCAGGCACGAAAGCGUGGGUAUCGAACAGGAUUAGAUACCCCGGUAA